rnacentral:rRNA from 1 species
UACGGAGGGGGCUAGCGUUGUUCGGAAUUACUGGGCGUAAAGCGCGCGUAGGCGGACCUGCAAGUCGGGGGUGAAAGCCCGAGGCUCAACCUCGGAACUGCCUUCGAUACUGCGGGUCUCGAGUCCGGGAGAGGUGAGUGGAAUUCCUAGUGUAGAGGUGAAAUUCGUAGAUAUUAGGAAGAACACCAGUGGCGAAGGCGGCUAUCUGGGCUGGAACUGACGCUGAGGCGCGAAGGCUAGGGGAGCAAACAGG